rnacentral:rRNA from 1 species
CCUACGGGAGGCAGCAGUGGGGAAUAUUGGGCAAUGGGCGCAAGCCUGACCCAGCAACGCCGCGUGAAGGAAGAAGGCUUUCGGGUUGUAAACUUCUUUUCUUAGGGACGAAGAAAGUGACGGUACCUCAGGAAUAAGCCACGGCUAACUACGUGCCAGCAGCCGCGGUAAUACGUAGGUGGCAAGCGUUAUCCGGAUUUAUUGGGUGUAAAGGGUGUGUAGGCGGGAUAGCAAGUCAGAUGUGAAAACUCAGGGCUCAACCCUGAGACUGCAUUUGAAACUGUUUUUCUUGAGUGCAGGAGAGGGAAGCGGAAUUCGGUGUGUAGCGGUGAAAUGCGUAGAUAUACGGAGGAACACCAGUGGCGAAUGCGGAUUGCUGGACAGUAACUGACGCUGAGGCGCGAAAGUGUGGGGAGCAAACAGGAUUAGAUACCCGGGUAGUC